GAUGAAGAACGUAGCGAAAUGCGAUAAGUAAUGUGAAUUGCAGAAUUCAGUGAAUCAUCGAAUCUUUGAACGCACAUUGCGCCCGCCAGUAUUCUGGCGGGCAUGCCUGUUCGAGCGUCAUUUCAACCAUCAAGCCCCCGGCUUGUGUUGGGGACCUGCGGCUGCCGCAGGCCCUGAAAACCAGUGGCGGGCUCGCUGUCACACCGAGCGUAGUAGAUUUUCAUCUCGCUCAGGGCGUGCUGCGGGUUCCGGCCGUAAAAAGCCUUAUUUACCCAAGGUUGACCUCGGAUCAGGUAGGAAGACCCGCUGAACUUAAGCAUAUCAAUAAGGGAGGA
rnacentral:misc_RNA from 1 species